UAGCUCAAUGGCAGAGCACUUGCCUAGCAAGCAUGAAGACCGAGGUUCAAUUCCUAG
rnacentral:tRNA from 1 species